rnacentral:rRNA from 1 species
UACGUAGGGUGCGAGCGUUAAUCGGAAUUACUGGGCGUAAAGCGUGCGCAGGCGGUUUUGUAAGCCAGGUGUGAAAUCCCCGGGCUUAACCUGGGAAUGGCAUUUGGGACUGCAAGGCUGGAGUUUGGCAGAGGAGACUGGAAUUCCUGGUGUAGCAGUGAAAUGCGUAGAUAUCAGGAGGAAUACCGAUGGCGAAGGCAGGUCUCUGGGCCAUAACUGACGCUGAGAAGCGAAAGCAUGGGGAGCGAACAGG